AUUGAACGCUGGCGGCAUGCCUUACACAUGCAAGUCGAACGGCAGCACGGGUGCUUGCACCUGGUGGCGAGUGGCGAACGGGUGAGUAAUACAUCGGAACAUGUCCUGUAGUGGGGGAUAGCCCGGCGAAAGCCGGAUUAAUACCGCAUACGAUCUACGGAUGAAAGCGGGGGACCUUCGGGCCUCGCGCUAUAGGGUUGGCCGAUGGCUGAUGAGCUAGUUGGUGGGGUAAAGGCCUACCAAGGCGACGAUCAGUAGCUGGUCUGAGAGGACGACCAGCCACACUGGGACUGAGACACGGCCCAGACUCCUACGGGAGGCAGCAGUGGGGAAUUUUGGACAAUGGGCGAAAGCCUGAUCCAGCAAUGCCGCGUGUGUGAAGAAGGCCUUCGGGUUGUAAAGCACUUUUGUCCGGAAAGAAAUCCUUGGCCCUAAUACGGUCGGGGGAUGACGGUACCGGAACAAUAAGCACCGGCUAACUACGUG
rnacentral:rRNA from 1 species